rnacentral:rRNA from 1 species
ACGAACGCUGGCGGCGUGCCUAAUACAUGCAAGUCGAGCGGACGGAUGGGAGCUUGCUCCCAGACCGUCAGCGGCGGACGGGUGAGUAACACGUGGGCAACCUGCCUGUAAGACUGGGAUAACUCCGGGAAACCGGGGCUAAUACCGGAUAACUCUUUCCCUCACAUGAGGGAAAGCUGAAAGAUGGCAUCUCGCUAUCACUUACAGAUGGUCCCGCGGCGCAUUAGCUAGUUGGUGAGGUAACGGCUCACCAAGGCGACGAUGCGUAGCCGACCUGAGAGGGGGAUCGGACAAACUGGGACUGAGACACGGCCCAGACACCUACGGGAGGCAGCAGUAGGGAAUCUUCCGCAAUGGACGAAAGUCUGACGGAGCAACGCCGCGUGAGUGAUGAAGGUGUUCGGAUCGUAAAACUCUGUUGUCAGGGAAGAACAAGUACCGGAGUAACUGCCGGUACCUUGACGGUACCUGAACAGAAAGCAACGGCUAACUACGUG